CACCCAGCGUAGAGGGUAGCUCAGCAGAUCCCUGAGGAGAAAUCCUGCAGUGAGGUGUCCCUGGAGCCAUCAGACAGGCUGUUGAAAGCAUGAUCUUCGGCCCCUUCUUUCCACCUCCUGAGUCGGUACAUCUCAUAGUAUGUGGGCUGGAAGACCCUCAAUGGGGGCUGGGGUCUGAACAGGACAGAUUGGGAGAAACCCAAUACACUUCUCCCAGGAUGGUGUGGUCUAUGCUCACACCAUGGAGAACUCAUCCAACAGCCCAAGAGGGACCAGGGAGCCUGCUCCUCCGCGAAGGACCUGGAGGGGCCACUUCCAGAGAGCCCUGGCACGUGUGUCCAAGUUCUUCAGGAGAGUACACCGAUCAAGCCGAGGCUGAGACCACGGGAGUCCUAGACAGGGACCCAUGCACAGUGAUUAAGACCUUCGGCACCUCAGGUCCCUAGUCUCCGAAGAAUCCUGUCCCGUGAUGUUGAAAUAAAUGCUGGCAAUGUU